GAUGAACGCUGACAGAAUGCUUAACACAUGCAAGUCAACUGUGGCGGACGGGUGAGUAACGCGUAAAGAACUUGCCUCACAGUUAGGGACAACAUUUGGAAACGAAUGCUAAUACCUGAUCCUUUGAGAGUGGUUUGCGUCCAAUUAGCUAGUGGGAGAGGUAACGGCUCACCAAGGCGAUGAUGGGUAGCCGGCCUGAGAGGUUGAUCGGCCAAAAGGGGACUGAGACACGGCCCUUACUCCUACGGGAGGCAGCAGUGGGUAAUAUUGGACAAUGGACCAAAGUCUGAUCCAGCAAUUCUGUGUGCACGAUGAAGUUUUCGGAAUGUAAAGUGCUUUCAGUUGGGAAGCGGUACCAACAGAAGAAGUGACGGCUAAAUACGUGCCAGCCGCCGCGGUAAUUC
rnacentral:rRNA from 1 species